AGGGCACGCUUCUGUUCCAGCACACUCUGUAGCAUAUUAACUGUACUGUUCCACCUGGGUUGCUGUCGUUGCAAUGUCACUGUUACAGACAGCUGAGUAAGUGGCGCCGGAGUUGCUACACGACCCCGCUCUCUCUCUGCCUUAGCGCUAGCUAACUUGGAAAACUCCUCCUACUCCUUUCCGUGACUAACCUUCAAAUGUCUGAUGAGGACGAGAACAUCACUGCAGCUAGAACAGCAGCCCUGGCCGGCCUAACGCUGUUCUUAAAGGAGGAUUCAUCAGAGGGCUUCAAAACUUGCAAGACAUUUUUGUAUUGUUUCCAUAGCUCAAUACCUGUAUCUAUUUUGCAAAAGGAAAUCACUGAUAUAAACAUAAAAAUUUGAAACUGCCUUCUGCUGUGUACCCUGUUGGCGGCCUUUAGAGCAGUUGUCAAUGUUAACAAA